AUUGAACGCUGGCGACAUGCCUUACACAUGCAAGUCGAACGGCAGCACGGGUGCUUGCACCUGGUGGCGAGUGGCGAACGGGGGAGUAAUACAUCGGAACAUGUCCUGUAGUGGGGGAUAGCCCGGCGAAAGCCGGAUUAAUACCGCAUACGAUCUACGGAUGAAAGCGGGGGACCUUCGGGCCUCGCGCUAUAGGGUUGGCCGAUGGCUGAUUAGCUAGUUGGUGGGGUAAAGGCCUACCAAGGCGACGAUCAGUAGCUGGUCUGAGAGGACGACCAGUCACACUGGGACUGAGACACGGCCCAGACUCCUACGGGAGGCAGCAGUGGGGAAUUUUGGACAAUGGGCGAAAGCCUGAUCCAGCAAUGCCGCGUGUGUGAAGAAGGCCUUCGGGUUGUAAAGCACUUUUGUCCGGAAAGAAAUCCUUGGCCCUAAUACGGUCGGGGGAUGACGGUACCGGAAGAAUAAGCACCGGCUAACUACGUG
rnacentral:rRNA from 1 species